UACGUAGGGUGCAAGCGUUGUCCGGAAUUAUUGGGCGUAAAGAGCUCGUAGGCGGUCAGUCGCGUCUGCUGUGAAAACUCGGGGCUUAACUCCGGGCCUGCAGUGGGUACGGGCUGACUAGAGUGCGGUAGGGGAGACUGGAAUUCCUGGUGUAGCGGUGAAAUGCGCAGAUAUCAGGAGGAACACCGGUGGCGAAGGCGGGUCUCUGGGCCGAUACUGACGCUGAGGAGCGAAAGCGUGGGGAGCGAACAGG
rnacentral:rRNA from 1 species